rnacentral:tRNA from 1 species
GCGCCUGAUGGGGCGGUUUCCGCCCGGGGCGGCGGACGCCCCGCAACGAAAUAUUACUCGUCAGUACACCGGGAGCCUUCCCGGUGGGCAACC